rnacentral:rRNA from 1 species
UUGUCUACUAAUUAUAGACCAGUAUGAAAGGCAAAAUGAGGGUCUAACUGUCUCUUAUAAUAAAUCAAUGAAACUGAUCUCCUAGUAAAAAAGCUAGAAUACACCCAUAAGACCAGAAGACCCUGUGAAGCUUAAAUUAAACUAUUAAAACAUAUAAUAGCUACUUUCGGUUGGGGCGACCUUGGAAAAAAAAAGAACUUCCAAAUAACGUGACCCUACAUCACGCAACUUAGGCCUACAAGCCAACAACGACCCAGCAUGGCUGAAAAAUGAACCAAGUUACUCCAGGGAUAACAGCGCAAUCUUCUUCAAGAGCCCAUAUCAAAAAGAAGGUUUACGACCUCGAUGUUGGAUCAGGACAUCCUAAUGGUGCAGCCGCUAUUAAGGGUUCGUUUGUUCAACGAUU